AGCCGACCAGGGAGAGAAGCUGUGCAAGGAGAUCGUGGCCUCAAAGUACCUCGAAUGCUCUGCCAAGACUCAGAAGGGACUCCCCGUUGUUUUUGAGGAG
rnacentral:ribozyme from 1 species